rnacentral:rRNA from 1 species
UACGGAGGAUCCAAGCGUUAUCCGGAUUUAUUGGGUUUAAAGGGUGCGUAGGCGGCCUGUUAAGUCAGGGGUGAAAGACGGUAGCUCAACUAUCGCAGUGCCUUUGAUACUGACGGGCUUGAAUGUACUUGAGGUAGGCGGAAUGUGACAAGUAGCGGUGAAAUGCAUAGAUAUGUCACAGAACACCAAUUGCGAAGGCAUCUUACUAAGGUAUGAUUGGCGCUGAGGCACGAAAGCGUGGGGAUCAAACAGG